AUUGGGCGUAAGGGCUCGCAGGCGGUUUCUUAAGUCUGAUGUGAAAGCCCCCGGCUCAACCGGGGAGGGUCAUUGGAAACUGGGAAACUUGAGUGCACAAGAGGAGAGUGGAAUUCCACGUGUAGCGGUGAAAUGCGUAGAGAUGUGAAGGAACACCACUGGCGAAGGCGACUCUCUGGUCUGUAACUGAGGCUGAGGAGCGAAAGCGUGGGGAGAGGACAGAAUUAUAUACCCUGGUAGUCCACGCCGUAAACGAUGAUUGCUA
rnacentral:rRNA from 1 species